UCCUCCCUCUUUCUUCGUGCUUAACACAUGCAAGUCGAACGGAAAGGCCCUGCUUUUGUGGGGUGCUCGAGUGGCGAACGGGUGAGUAACACGUGAGUAACCUGCCCUUGACUUUGGGAUAACUUCAGGAAACUGGGGCUAAUACCGGAUAGGAGCUCCUGCUGCAUGGUGGGGGUUGGAAAGUUUCGGCGGUUGGGGAUGGACUCGCGGCUUAUCAGCUUGUUGGUGGGGUAGUGGCUUACCAAGGCUUUGACGGGUAGCCGGCCUGAGAGGGUGACCGGCCAAAUUGGGACUGAGAUACGGCCCAGACUCCUACGGGAGGCAGCAGUGGGGAAUAUUGCACAAUGGGCGGAAGCCUGAUGCAGCAACGCCGCGUGCGGGAUGACGGCCUUCGGGUUGUAAACCGCUUUCGCCUGUGACGAAGCGUGAGUGACGGUAAUGGGUAAAGAAGCACCGGCUAACUACGUG
rnacentral:rRNA from 1 species